UUAUGUAACAAGAAAAAUAACCUGUUCUAUCUGUUACAUAAAAAGAGGGGAAAUAUAUGGCUGCAAUCAUUAAAUUUAUUUACACAAUGUUUCUAUUUAUUUUCCUAUUUGUAGUUCCAACCAAAGUUGACGCACUUGCUGGAUGUAUUACUGAUGCUGAUUGUGUGAUAAAGAAGUGUAGUUCUUCUUGUCGUAUAAAGUGUAUUGAUUUUCGGUGUCUAUGCCCAACUGGUUUUUAAGAGUACCAGCUUCAACAAAGUACACAAAAGCUUUAUGUGGAUGAAUGAGUUUUUGCACUAGCAAAAAGAUCUAUGUUAUUUCCCAUCUGCAAGAAUAUUAUAUGAGUGUCAAUUAUCAUUUAAUUAUUGUGGUGGUAUCAAAUAAAUGGAUUUUAUAUUUACUUUUC